rnacentral:rRNA from 1 species
GAUGAACGCUGGCGGCGUGCCUAAUACAUGCAAGUCGAGCGAACAGACGAGGAUCUUGCUCCUCUGACGUUAGCGGCGGACGGGUGAGUAACACGUGGAUAACCUACCUAUAAGACUGGGAUAACUUCGGGAAACCGGAGCUAAUACCGGAUAAUAUAUUGAACCGCAUGGUUCAAUAGUGAAAGACGGUUUUGCUGUCACUUAUAGAUGGAUCCGCGCCGCAUUAGCUAGUUGGUAAGGUAACGGCUUACCAAGGCAACGAUGCGUAGCCGACCUGAGAGGGUGAUCGGCCACACUGGAACUGAGACACGGUCCAGACUCCUACGGGAGGCAGCAGUAGGGAAUCUUCCGCAAUGGGCGAAAGCCUGACGGAGCAACGCCGCGUGAGUGAUGAAGGUCUUCGGAUCGUAAAACUCUGUUAUUAAGGAAGAACAAAUGUGUAAGUAACUAUGCACGUCUUGACGGUACCUAAUCAGAAAGCCACGGCUAACUACGUG